UACGGAGGGUGCGAGCGUUGUCCGGAAUCACUGGGCGUAAAGGGCGCGUAGGCGGCGCGAGUAGUCAACGGUGAAAGCCCGGGGCUCAACCCCGGGUCGGCCGUCGAUACUCUCGUGCUUGAGCACUGUAGAGGCAGGUGGAAUUCCGGGUGUAGCGGUGGAAUGCGUAGAGAUCCGGAAGAACACCGGCGGCGAAGGCGGCCUGCUGGGCAGUAGCUGACGCUGAGGCGCGACAGCGUGGGGAGCAAACAGG
rnacentral:rRNA from 1 species